rnacentral:rRNA from 1 species
GAAUAUUGGACAAUGGGGGGAACCCUGAUCCAGCCAUGCCGCGUGUGUGAAGACGGCCUUUUGGUUGUACAGCACUUUAAGCGAGGAGGAGGCUACUCUAGUUAAUACCUACAGACAGUGGACGUUAAUCGCAGACUAAGCACCGGCUAACUAUGUGCCAGCAGCCGCGGUAAUACAGAGGGUGCAAGCGUUAAUCGGAUUGACUUGGCGUAAAGCGCGCGUAGGUGGCCAAUUAAGUCAAAUGUGAAAUCCCCGAGCUUAACUUGGGAAUUGCAUUCGAUACUGGUUGGCUAGAGUAUGGGAGAGGAUGGUAGAAUUCCAGGUGUAGCGGUGAAAUGCGUAGAGAUCUGGAGGAAUACCGAUGGCGAAGGCAGCCAUCUGGCCUAAUACUGACACUGAGGUGCGAAAGCAUGGGGAGCAAACA